CACAGUUCAAAUGGUCUGGGUCCGCCCCUGAUUACAAUAGGUAAGAAUUUGCAACAUUUCUAAGACUAUAUAAACUUUAGUGAGAAUUGGUUCAAGGCGAUCAACAUUAGUGUCAUAACAUAUAGAAAACAUGCCAGUAUAAGUAAUUAGCAAAAUUUAAAAGUAAUAAAAAUUAUUUACCUGGAUUAAAAAAUUGCUGGAACUUUAAUUAUUAAUUGGCGAAGAAUUCAAUGGGGGCGACCUGAGAACAUGUAUGUUCAUACACCAAUAUUAUAUAUAUGCUCUCAUAUCGUCCCGAUUGGAUCUUUCACCAUUACUCUUUUGCGUUGCAUAGCUCGAUUGACUACUAAUUCCAAAC
rnacentral:lncRNA from 1 species